CGCUUUGAUAAUGCUGGGAUGUGAUGGGGAGCGAAAUUUAGUAGCGAAGUAGCUGAUUUCACACUGUCAAGAAAAGUCUCUAUCGAGGUUAAAGGUACCCGUACCGCAAACCGACACAGGUGGGUGAGGAGAGUAUCCUAAGGCCAGCGAGAGAACUGUUGUUAAGGAACUCGGCAAAAUGACCCCGUAACUUAGGGAUAAGGGGUGCCACCAUCAGGUGGCCGCAGAGAAUAGGCCCAAGCGACUGUUUACCAAAAACAUAGGUUUCUGCUAAGUCGCAAGACGAUGUAUAGGAGCUGACGCCUGCCCGGUGCUGGAAGGUUAAGGGGAUCUGUUAGAGCAAUCGAAGCAGUGAACUUAAGCCCCAGUAAACGGCGGCCGUAACUAUAACGGUCCUAAGGUAGCGAAAUUCCUUGUCGGGUAAGUUCCGACCCGCACGAAAGGCGUAACGAUUUGGGCACUGUCUCAACAACAGACUCGGUGAAAUUGUAAUUCCGGUGAAGAUGCCGGAUACCUGCGACAGGACGGAAAGACCCCAUGGAGCUUUACUGUAGCUUGACAUUGGGUCUUGGUACUACAUGUACAGGAUAGGUGGGAGGCUUUGAAACCAGGACGCCAGUUUUGGCGGAGCCAUCCUUGGGAUACCACCCUUGUAGUACUGGGACUCUAACCAUAGGCCAUGAAUCUGGUCUUGGGACACUGUCAGGUGGGCAGUUUGACUGGGGCGGUCGCCUCCCAAAAGGUAACGGAGGCGCUCAAAGGUUCUCUCAGUACGGUCGGAAAUCGUACGUAGAGUGUAAAGGCAAAAGAGAGCUUGAUUGCAAGACAUACAGGUCGAGCAAGGAUGAAAAUCGGACUUAGUGAUCCGGUGGUUCUGCGUGGAAGGGCCAUCGCUCAACGGAUAAAAGCUACCCUGGGGAUAACAGGCUUAUCUCCCCCAAGAGUCCACAUCGACGGGGAGGUUUGGCACCUCGAUGUCGGCUCAUCACAUCCUGGGGCUGUAGUAGGUCCCAAGGGUUGGGCUGUUCGCCCAUUAAAGUGGUACGCGAGCUGGGUUCAGAACGUCGUGAGACAGUUCGGUCCCUAUCCGUCGCAGGCGUAGGAAAUUUGAGAAGACCUGUCCUUAGUACGAGAGGACCGGGAUGGACGUACCUCUGGUGUACCAGUUGUCCUGCCAAGGGCAUGGCUGGGUAGCUAUGUACGGAAUGGAUAAGCGCUGAAAGCAUCUAAGCGCGAAGCCAACUUCAAGAUAAGAUUUCCCACCGCAAGGGUAAGACCCCAGAAAGACUAUCUGGUUGAUAGGUCGAAGGUGUAAGUGCAGCAAUGUAUUUAGCUUAUCGAUACUAAUAGGUCGAGGACUUGACCAA
rnacentral:rRNA from 1 species